GAGCCAUGAUUGGAACUCUUUGGCUUGGCUUCAUUCUUCUCUCGCCCGCCUAUCCGAUCUCAUUCUCAGCCUCCCUUUCAGGUGUACCUACCCAGUUCUCUGUGACUCCUGGACAGCUACACUGAAUGCUGGGAGUUCUCUAGAGAAUGACCUCACAGCCCUGAGGGCACUUCACCAGUCUUACAGCUCUGAGAUCCUGACAGGGCCAGUAAGUGGCCCCCUGAGAGCCCUGACUGGAGGUGUUUCUGGCCCUGUUUCCACAGAGAAAACAACUUGAGUUAUCCGUAGACUCUGCCCCACAGUUAUCCGGCAAUAGCCAGGUAUGCCUGACUCUGUAAAAGGGGCUGUUUGGCCCCUCCGCUCUCUUACUCUCUUGCUCUCUUUCCCUCUUACACUUUUCCCUCUCUGCCCCUUCUCUCCCAUUCCCCUCCCCCCUCUCUCCUCUCUUCACGUGUUGUUGAUAGACUACCUCUGUGUGUGUGUGUGUGUGUGUGUGUGUGUACUCCCUUCCCAACUCCCCUCCCCAUGCCCUAAAUAAACUCUAUUCUAUACUAUCCCGCCCUAUGGCUGGUACCUCAAGGGAAAGGGAUGCCUCAGCAUGGGCCCCCAGAGGCACCCCCUUCCACCUCACCA
rnacentral:lncRNA from 1 species